AUAUAUAUAUAUAUAUAUAUAUAUAUAUAUGGACAAUGUAAUAGAGAAAUGUCAUAAUGAAGAGAAAGAUAUUUCUUCAUGCAAGUCACGGUUUAAAGGAUUCUCUCCAUGAUAUCUGCUGACGAUUAAAAUUACAAAAAAUUGCGCCAAAAUUUCAAGAUUAACGUAAUCUACAGAUAUCUGCAAAAGAUAAGAAAGAGCGUUCCGAAGGCGAGACGAGAGAGACGAGAGAGACGAGAAGGUGCUUCUAUAAUCACGACUAUACUCCCGUAACUAUAACGUCUUGCACGAAACGUGACCGCGUGGUAAUCGCUCCUGUCUCGCUUCGCCGCGACAAACCAAAGACUAUAAAACGGCAGUAAAACCGACGGGGGUGAGACUCGAGCACGAGAGAAAGGGGAAAAAGGAGGAGAGAGGUCCAGCCCGGGUCAAGAGAGGCAGUUUGCUUUGACAUUGCCUAAUCAAAACAGCGACUCCUUCUCCUGUUUCUUCGUUCGUGCCUCGGAUAAAUCGAAGAAUAAAAAGGCUCGUUGGUUACGCGAUUUAUCGCUUUUUGAUAACCAAUUCGUUCGCGUUGAGAGAUCGAGAUGCAAAUACAAUUAACCCGCUAUUGCCCGCUAUUAUAUAUAUAAACAGAAGUGACUUAAAUCAAAAUAGAGAAUAUGACUCGCUUAUCAUUUUAAAAUAUAAUAUUGAAUAUCACAUAUAUAUUUUUAGAAACGUAUAUAAGAAUCGAGAUAAUAAUACCAGGUGUCUGUGAAACCUUAUGCAUUACUACGUACAUUACUUAUGUUACAGAGAUAAAAAGGAUGUAAAAAUGUACACUGGAUUUAUAAAAAGGGGGUUAAUCGUUGCUUCUUGGCGGACCAACUCGUCGACGAUAACGCACGAUAGCGACCGCAGAGACGAGAGGCGGGAGGGAAAUGGUAGGAACAAUCGAACAUGAUCGGCCGGUCGAUGUUGCUAAACACGGUCAUUGUGCCGGGUUAACAAUACUCCGCUAUAUCAGCAACAUAGGCGUUCGUAAGUCCCAGCAUUCGGUCAACAAUUCGCGCACCCGGCCAUUGCAGCUGUUGAAAAAUAUCCGGCCGCGCUUUGACCACCGUUGUUCUCAUUUGUUUCCGUUCCUGUCGCCAAACUUGUGUGAUCCGCGAUUUUUGUAAAUCUUCGGCCAAAAGCUGUUCCAAAGUAUGAUCUAGACCGCAGGUAAUUAAGACGAGACGUUUGUAUUUAAAUCAUAUAUGGUUGUUCUUUUUCCUGUUUUUUAAAAAAGA